rnacentral:rRNA from 1 species
UUCUUCCUACGGGAGGCAGCAGUGAGGAAUAUUGGUCAAUGGCCGAGAGGCUGAACCAGCCAAGUCGCGUGAGGGAAGACGGCCCUACGGGUUGUAAACCUCUUUUGUCGGGGAGCAAAGCGAACCACGUGUGGUUCAUUGAGAGUACCCGAAGAAAAAGCAUCGGCUAACUCCGUGCCAGCAGCCGCGGUAAUACGGAGGAUGCGAGCGUUAUCCGGAUUUAUUGGGUUUAAAGGAUGCGUAGGCGGAAUGCCAAGUCAGCGGUAAAAUCGCGGGGCUCAACCUCGCUCCGCCGUUGAAACUGG